UUUCCUCAGUGAUGACCUGGAAGCAUUUACAGAAGCUGUGCUUGCUUUGAUAAUCAAAGCAUGUCUAUUUGUUUAAAUCUGAUAAUUUUAAUUGCAUUCUAACUCCACAGAGACUGGUAAAUUGUGUAGAGUACAUGAAAACUCAACAGACCAGAGAAGUGCCUAGUAUUCAUUUGGUACUUGAAAUAACGCACCUUUAUCGCCAGGGCCCAGAGGGGCUUUAUCACUAACCCCAGGCCACAUGUGGCUGUGUGAGGCUAAAUGCUGACUUGGGAGUCAUUUUCCUACCUCUCACUAUUGAGAUCAUCUUGGUAUUUAAAGCCUUGGGGAAUGUAUAUUUCUAUCUUUAAGACACCCCAGUUCUCUAGCUGCUUUACUGACUGAACCAGAACUCCUCCUCCUCUGUCUUUCCUUUCUCUCAGUUUUGGCAGUUAAGUGUUCAGGUCAAAAGCUGUGGUGUCACCUUCCAGUCCCUGUGCUCUGCAUGCAGGGAGGCCUGCUGACAGCACAGCUCCUUGAAGAUGAUGGUGAAAGCCGGACAGAAUGGCAGAAGGAAGACCCACUGGAUGACAUCCAGUGGCACAGGCCCUGAUUACACCUGUAGUUGUUGAAAGGAGUGGGGCAUUGUGGGGGGAAAGGUGUUUCUUCAUUCCCCAGGCUUCUGGGGGGGCCUGGGGCUCUUGGCCAGCGUGAGGUGUUCCUUCAGACCUGGCCAAACCUGCCACCAGCCUUGGGGUGGGUGGCACUGUUUCCACCACUGUCAAGCUAGCAAGACCGUGACUUAUCCGUACAGAGGCGGCCAGGAGUGCUCCUUCUCAUAAAAGCAAGUCCUUAACCUCUCUUUUUGAAAUUAGGUGUCUGCCCUCGCCAGGAAGCCUGUAAAGCCGGGCACAGCUGCCCCAGGAUGUGCUACUAUAUACCCACAGAAAAUAUCCCAAACAAGCUGUACCACCAACUGGAAGAGGGAGGGAAUCCAUGGUCUCCGAAGGUUCGGUUCAACCACACAGGCUGAGAGUUAGCUACAUGUGCUACCUGCAUCUCCAAGUCCAGGUUGACACUCUCUCUCUCGAACUCAAUGCUACAUUGCUGAGUGACCUCAUCUACGGAGACCAUGUUUCCCACGUGCCUGGCCUGGUAAGGCACCCUGCCGUGGGGCACUAGGGAUCAGCUGUUUGGUUUUGUUCCCCGGAGCACCCAGUGCCUGACACAGCUUAAGUUGAAACAACUCUGAAAUGACCACCAGUGGGCAGGAAAGGGUUUUGAAUUCCAGGGGAAAUGAGGAAACAAAUUAUGGCUGACAGCCACGAGGAGGAGUCAUCAAUGAACUGUUCUGGGGAGAGGCUCCAUACACGUGAGAAGUUAAGAGUCCGAAUCUGAAGAAGUGUUCAUUCAGUCCUGCAAACAGCAGUAUAUAAAUUGCACAGGAAUAGAAAUAAUUUCUGGAUAAAAAACCUCUUACCUGGCUUAUCGCUCCCAAAAGAGGGAAGAGGGCUGAGCUCUACAGGGAGAUCUGCAGGACUUCGUACAGACUCUGGGGCAAGGCUGCCACCUGUGUAAGAGCCAUUGUUCUUGAAGUGAUUUCAUUGUUGGAAAUUGCAAAGGCAAUGUGACUGAGUCUGUCCAGGCCAGUAUGCACUGGAAGAUCAGAAGUAGGACAGGCAGCUUUCCUUCUGAGCCUGUACUGUCUGCCCUGCUUCUACGGAGAAGGAGAAUUGCAGCUGACAUUCUUGAAGAGUACGCUUCAUGUAUAUACAAAACGGCUACAUUCCAAGGCUCUGACGUAAAUGUUGGCCUUUACCAAACACAAAUGUCGACAUACAACACUGGAUCUGGUUAGCAGUAAUGUGAGAGCUGCUAUGCAGACACGGCAGAUUCUAUUUUUGACAUUUUAUUGACAAAACAGAACUCCCUUCCCUCCACCCUCACAGAGAACUAGUCUUUUCUUAUGGGUGCCGUAACUUACCUGUUUAACCAAGGUUUGUGCUGGCAGGCUACAAAGGUAAUUCAGAUAGUAGCCUACACCCACACCCUCCAGUGCUGGUUUGAACUCCCCUACACAGCGAGUUGUGCAGCUAUCUUAUUCAGAAAAGCAGAAGCUGUAGUAAUAGUAAUGGAACAUACUAGGCUUUGCAUAAACUUUGCUGUUCUAUCUUCAUUAGCUCAGAUUAGAAUAAAGUUACUAUGUAAGUGAGGAGUUCCAGCAUGCAGUCUCUUUGGAGGAGGAAGAAACUCAGACCAGUGAGGAAGAAAGGUGGUCUGUGCUAGAACUCUGUCAACAUGCCUUGCCUAAUGCAGAGACUUCUUAGAAGACCACAGAACUCAGACCAUCUGAGAAACCAGAAGAGAAAAAAAGAAAAAAAGCUGAGGACAUAAAUCUGCAUUAGGCAGGGCAGGGGAGAAGACUGUAUAAGGAAAGACCAAAAUCGUGUGCUGUAACUGCAGCACCUCCCACCCCUCCACAACACUACUACUUCCAGAACCAGGGAAGUUCUAAUGUGUCUUCUGUGUUAAAACAAAAGGAGUUAUUUGUGGUUCCUCUGCCAAAGUUUUAAGGGCUUUGAGAACUGCCAGCUGGGAUCCAAAUUACAUCCAGGAGACCCAAGUGGGUAUUUUUCCCCCUAAACCUGCACAGAAGUAAGGAUGACAAAAAAUUAUAUUCCUUCUGUCUGGAAUUUAGUUUUUUUACGAAAAGAUAGAAAAAUCAAAAUGACCAACUGCCAGGAUACUACUUCUAACUAUUAUUGGCACUUACCCUUAAUCGGAGUCAUUUUGGUAGAGUCCCCCGACUCCUGCCCUGUUUAAUUAGUCAUUAGCAUCAGGGAGGGCUAAGGAAGAACAGCUGAUAAGCAGCAAGCACACCAGUGUACCUUUGGUCUUCACCAACUCCAGAGGCUGUUUCAAGUUCUGUGGACAACGGAAGCUUCAGUUCUUUGACAUCUCUAGGACUGAAAUCAACCAGAGCUAUAGGUGACCUUGUCUGAAAACAAGGUCUUCCCGUCAGUCUUCUGGAACAGGCACAGCGGGUGGGAGGUGACGAAAGGCUCUGUGUGGUACCAGCAACCAAAAAGUGAAGAUGAGGUGACAAAGGCUAGAAAGGAGUCAUUUAUUAAAAAACAAAACCAGAACAAAACCAACAAAACAACAAAAAACGAAACGGCCCUCAGCAGGAUUUGAAGACGCAACAGGUGAACGCAUAGUCUUAAUCGCUUUACGUCCCCAUGACCACGCGACACGCACUGCCUAUGAGCUCUGUCCGCGGGGAGGCACAGCACACCAGUUCACUGCACAGGUCAAAGCGGUGGCAGGUUACCUGCUGAAGGGGGAGAGGGGUACAUGUGGGCCCUUCUCCCACUUCUGCUGUCAGGUAGCCAGGCUUCUGCAUUUAUAGUGGGCCAUUUCUUAUCAGGCUGGGGUUGCCAAGACAAAAGCGAGCUGACAUGAUCACAGUAGUUACUACCAGAAUACCAUGGCUCUCCAGCAGAGACCACACAGCACACGGUCAGAUUCUAAGGGGACAGAGCAGCCUGCUCCUUCUGCCAUGCCUGCAAUGUAGGGCCCAGCUCAGAGGGGAAACUGACAUUUGUCCCCAAUACCCAGUUGUCACCACAGGUAAACCGAGACUAUAAUCACAACAGCAAGGACAGGAUCAUGUUGCUUUUUUCCUUUUUUUCUUCAAGGAGUGAGGGCAUGGGAAAUACAGCACACCAAUGAAACAAAAUGCCAAAAAAAAAAAAAAAAAGAAA